rnacentral:rRNA from 1 species
UGGGGAAUAUUGCACAAUGGGCGCAAGCCUGAUGCAGCCAUGCCGCGUGUAUGAAGAAGGCCUUCGGGUUGUAAAGUACUUUCAGCGAGGAGGAAGGCGGUAAGGUUAAUAACCUUAUCGAUUGACGUUACUCGCAGAAGAAGCACCGGCUAACUCCGUGCCAGCAGCCGCGGUAAUACGGAGGGUGCAAGCGUUAAUCGGAAUUACUGGGCGUAAAGCGCACGCAGGCGGUCUGUCAAGUCGGAUGUGAAGUCCCCGGGCUCAACCUGGGAACUGCAUUCGAAACUGGCAGGCUAGAGUCUUGUAGAGGGGGGUAGAAUUCCAGGUGUAGCGGUGAAAUGCGUAGAGAUCUGGAGGAAUACCGGUGGCGAAGGCGGCCCCCUGGACAAAGACUGACGCUCAGGUGCGAAAGCGUGGGGAGCAAACA